UACGUAGGGGGCGAGCGUUGUCCGAAGUUACUGGGCGUAAAGCGUGCGCAGGCGGUCCGCAAAGUCUGAUGUGAAAGCCCCGGGCUCAACCUGGGAACUGCAUUGGAAACUAACGGGCUCGAGUGUGGCAGAGGGGGGUGGAAUUCCACGUGUAGCAGUGAAAUGCGUAGAGAUGUGGAGGAACACCGAUGGCGAAGGCAGCCCCCUGGGCUAACACUGACGCUCAGGCACGAAAGCGUGGGGAGCAAACAGG
rnacentral:rRNA from 1 species